rnacentral:rRNA from 1 species
GACGAACGCUGGCGGCGUGCCUAAUACGUGCAAGUAGAACGCCGAAGGAGGAGCUUGCUUCUCUGGAUGAGUUGCGAACGGGUGAGUAACGCGUAGGUAACCUGCCUGGUAGCGGGGGAUAACUAUUGGAAACGAUAGCUAAUACCGCAUAACAGUAGAUAUCGCAUGAUAUCUACUUGAAAGGUGCAAUUGCAUCACUACCAGAUGGACCUGCGUUGUAUUAGCUAGUUGGUGAGGUAACGGCUCACCAAGGCGACGAUACAUAGCCGACCUGAGAGGGUGAUCGGCCACACUGGGACUGAGACACGGCCCAGACUCCUACGGGAGGCAGCAGUAGGGAAUCUUCGGCAAUGGACGGAAGUCUGACCGAGCAACGCCGCGUGAGUGAAGAAGGUUUUCGGAUCGUAAAGCUCUGUUGUAAGAGAAGAACGAGUGUGAGAGUGGAAAGUUCACACUGUGACGGUAUCUUACCAGAAAGGGACGGCUAACUACGUG